UACGUAGGGGGCAAGCGUUGUCCGGAAUCAUUGGGCGUAAAGAGCGCGUAGGCGGCCCUGUAAGUCCGCUGUGAAAGUCAAGGGCUCAACCCUUGAAUGCCGGUGGAUACUGCAGGGCUAGAGUCCGGAAGAGGCGAGUGGAAUUCCUGGUGUAGCGGUGAAAUGCGCAGAUAUCGGGAAGAACACCCGUGGCGAAGGCGGCUCUCUGGGACGGUACUGACGCUGAGACGCGAAAGCGUGGGGAGCGAACAGG
rnacentral:rRNA from 1 species